GCUCUUUAGAGCACUCACUUCACUUCUCCCAUGUAGUUCCUGAGUGCAAGACUCUCCUGAAGAAGGGGCUUCUAAAAGGCCAGCCCACGCAUCUUGUUCAGACUGGGCUGCUCCAUCCCCGCUAAGCCCAGGGAUCCACUUGUGUGUCUUUCUGGGAUCAUUGUCUUUAGUGGCAGCCUGGGCCUCAGGGAAGGAAGGGCAUGAGGAGUGGCCCCGGCUGGGAUGUCAGGGGCCCAGGAAAACUCCUGUGUCUACCAAGAAAUUGCCCCCUCUAUUCAGAGGCUGCCUUGUCCUAGGUAUCUGAUGUCCCGCCCUUGCGGUUUCCAAAUCCAGAUGUAGGUCUGGCUCCUAUUAGGCUACCAUUUCUUUGUGGGAAGACAGAACUUCGUCGCGACAUUUCUCAGAAGCCAUGACAUGUCCCUGCAGCUGGAGGCCUUUCAAGGGUGGCCCAGGAGGCCUCAAGGGCCUGGUGUGGCCUGCAAAGGAAGAGAACAGCUGUUCUCACGGAAGGAUCCAAAGGGUUCAAAGGCGAAGGGUGCCAUCUGCUUCCCCACUGAUUCAGAAGAUA
rnacentral:sRNA from 1 species